rnacentral:rRNA from 1 species
ANNGCGNCCUAUCUGCAGUCGAGCGGGGAUUAUGUAGAAGCUUGCUUCUACAUAACCUAGCGGCGGACGGGUGAGUAACACGUAGGCAACCUGCCCACAAGACAGGGAUAACUACCGGAAACGGUAGCUAAUACCCGAUACAUCCUUUUCCUGCAUGGGAGAAGGAGGAAAGACGGAGCAAUCUGUCACUUGUGGAUGGGCCUGCGGCGCAUUAGCUAGUUGGUGGGGUAAAGGCCUACCAAGGCGACGAUGCGUAGCCGACCUGAGAGGGUGAUCGGCCACACUGGGACUGAGACACGGCCCAGACUCCUACGGGAGGCAGCAGA